GCAAGUCGAGCGGAAACGACAUUAACAAUCCUUAGGGUGCGUUAAUGGGCGUCGAGCGGCGGACGGGUGAGUAGUGCCUAGGAAAUUGCCUUGAUGUGGGGGAUAACCAUUGGAAACGAUGGCUAAUACCGCAUAAUGCCUACGGGCCAAAGAGGGGGAUCUUCGGGCCUCUCGCGUCAAGAUAUGCCUAGGUGGGAUUAGCUAGUUGGUGAGGUAAUGGCUCACCAAGGCGACGAUCCCUAGCUGGUCUGAGAGGAUGAUC
rnacentral:rRNA from 1 species